rnacentral:rRNA from 1 species
UACGAAGGGCCCAAGCGUUAUCCGGAUUUAUUGGGUUUAAAGGGUGCGUAGGCGGAUUAUUAAGUCAGUGGUGAAAGCCUAGAGCUUAACUCUAGAACUGCCAUUGAUACUGAUAAUCUUGAGUAUGAUUGAGGUGGGCGGAAUGUGUCAUGUAGCGGUGAAAUGCUUAGAUAUGACACAGAACACCGAUUGCGAAGGCAGCUCACUAAGCCAUAACUGACGCUGAUGCACGAAAGCGUGGGGAGCAAACAGG